CCGCUCAGGAUGAACGCUGGCGGCGUGCUUAAAAUGCAGUCGAACGAUGAUCCCAGCUUGCUGGGGGAUUAGUGGCGAACGGGUGAGUAACACGUGAGUAACCUGCCCUUGACUCUGGGAUAAGCCUGGGAAACUGGGUCUAAUACCGGAUACGACCAUCUGGCGCAUGUCAUGGUGGUGGAAAGCUUUUGUGGUUUUGGAUGGACUCGCGGCCUAUCAGCUUGUUGGUGGGGUAAUGGCCUACCAAGGCGACGACGGGUAGCCGGCCUGAGAGGGUGACCGGCCACACUGGGACUGAGACACGGCCCAGACUCCUACGGGAGGCAGCAGUGGGGAAUAUUGCACAAUGGGCGCAAGCCUGAUGCAGCGACGCCGCGUGAGGGAUGACGGCCUUCGGGUUGUAAACCUCUUUCAGUAGGGAAGAAGCGAAAGUGACGGUACCUGCAGAAGAAGCGCCGGCUAACUACGUGCCAGCAGCCGCGGUAAUACGUAGGGCGCAAGCGUUAUCCGGAAUUAUUGGGCGUAAAGAGCUCGUAGGCGGUUUGUCGCGUCUGCUGUGAAAGACCGGGGCUCAACUCCGGUUCUGCAGUGGGUACGGGCAGACUAGAGUGCAGUAGGGGAGACUGGAAUUCCUGGUGUAGCGGUGAAAUGCGCAGAUAUCAGGAGGAACACCGAUGGCGAAGGCCAGGUCUCUGGGCUGUAACUGACGCUGAGGAGCGAAAGCAUGGGGAGCGAACAGGAUUAGAUACCCUGGUAGUCCAUGCCGUAAACGUUGGGCAC
rnacentral:rRNA from 1 species